rnacentral:rRNA from 1 species
UACAGAGGGGGCAAGCGUUAUUCGGAAUUAUUGGGCGUAAAGGGCGCGUAGGCGGUGCGGUAAGUCUGUAGUGAAAUCUCUGGGCUCAACUCAGAGUCUGCUGCAGAAACUGCCGUGCUUGAGUGUGGGAGAGGUGAGUGGAAUUCCCGGUGUAGCAGUGAAAUGCGUAGAUAUCAGGAGGAACACCCGUAGCGAAGGCGGCACUCUGGGCCGAUACUGACACUGAGGAGCGAAAGCGUGGGGAGCGAACAGG